rnacentral:rRNA from 1 species
CCUAGUAAAAAAGCUAGAAUUACAACAUAAGACCAGAAGACCCUGUGAAGCUUAAAUAAAACUAUUAAACCACAUAAUAACUACUUUCGGUUGGGGCGACCUUGGAAAAAAAGAGAACUUCCAAAUAAAAUGACUAUACCUCAUAUCUAAAUAGGCCAACAAGCCAAAAAUGACCCAGCACAGCUGAUAAUUGAACCAAGUUACUCCAGGGAUAACAGCGCAAUCUUCUUCAAGAGCCCAUAUCAAAAAGAAGGUUUACGACCUCGAUGUUGGAUCAGGACAUCCUAAUGGUGCAGCCGCUAUUAAGGGUUCGUUUGUUCAACGAUUAAUA